GGGGGGAGUGGCGAGGUACGGGGAGGCAGGGCCACCAGGCCCAGCGGCUGGUCCUCAUCCCGGGCGUCCAUGGGUGAUCAGGAGAGACCAGUCAGGAACCAGGGAAGGGGCCCCGAGGAGCCACUCCCCAGGAGGGCCUCCAGGAAGGGCCAUGGAGGACACUGGAUGGGAAAACUGAGGCUGGGAGAUCAGGUGAUGGGGUGUUGAAGAUCAUCCAGCCAGAGAGAUGCAAUGCAAACUCAGGACUGUCAUCCCAACGCCCAAGGCCCUCUGCCGGCCUGCCCAUGCUCUCCCUGAUCACGAGCAGGACCUUCUGGCCAUGUUCUUUAGGACACGCGGAGCUGAGGGAUCUCCCUUCAUUUGCUCUCCACCGUGGGGGCCAGGCUGGGGUCAGCCCGUCUCUCCCUCCUCCGCCGAGUGUGCUUGGGGUCUGACAUACCAAGUUCAGCCCUCUUUUUCCCUGGGGUCCCGUACUGUGCACGGCACGUGGUGCAUGCUGAUUGGGGCAGACCCCAGGAAGGGCCACCCAAGUAGAAGACAGGAAGUGGAGUCCAGGGCCUGGGGAUCACACCCAGAGUCCUUCACAAGGGCCAGUGGAUGCGCAAGCAAGGGAGGACAGCUGGGCUGGCUGAAAAGCAAAGAGCCCCGGCCCUGAGGGGUCCACCUGCGGCCAUUUUGGGGGGUUGUCUGUUCUGUAGGCAGGAGCAGCAGUUCAGCCUCAAAACCUCAGGCCCAGGUGUGGGUGCCGUACCUGCUGCAGCCCCUGUGGCCUGUGUGAGUGAGCAACUUAUGAACCCGAGUCCUCCCCUGUUAAAUGAACUAAUCAGAGCUCAUGGGGUGCAGGAGAUUUGAGGAUAAGAAGCGUGUGGCCUUCUUGCUCCUUGGAGAGGCCUCAGCUUAGGCGGGGCCCUUCCAUGUUGCUGUUUCGGGUUCAUGAUUGUAGGAGGGGGUGGCUCAGCCUGAAGAAGCUGCUCAUAAAGUGGGACCCGUUUGGAAUUCAGAAUUUUUUUUUUUAAUUGCUACCAGGGAUUGAACUCAAGGGCACUUAACCACUGAGCCACAUCCCCAGCCCUUUUGAAUCUUUUAUUUAGAGACGGUCUCGCUGAGUUGCUGAGGCCGAUUUGGACUUGUGAUCCUCCUGCCUCAGCCUCCCCAGCGCUGGGAUUGUAGGCUGCGCCAUCACGCCUGGCUUCAGGAUGUUCUUGAGACGCAGGCAUCUGCCCACUCCUCCCCGGCUGGUCUUGUCUGUCCACUGAAGCAGGACCUCCAGGGGCCGCUGACUCCUGGCUGACCGAGUGGACACAGCCCAACCUCCUUGGAAGGACUGAGAUGACAUUUCCUGAAACCGCAGGCAGGCGGGGCUCUUUGGAAAGCCCCACUGUUCUUUCUUCAAUAAAGACAAAUGAAUUUCUUCCCCUCAGCUGACUCGGAGCCGCCGCGGGAACCUUUCCCUGGCUCUUGCCGACUCACCACUGAUUCCCUGGAAGAAUGUGGGUCAGAAGGGACACCCUGUGGGAAAGGGACAGCUGACCUGAAAUCUGUAACAGCAGGAGUCCAGACAUGGACCUGAUUCCUCCCUGGCGAGUCCGGGAAUGGUGGACCCUGGUACUGAGAGCAUUCGCUAGGAGUAAUAAUAGGAAUGACAGCCAGCGUUGCCUUGGCACCCACCGUGGGCCAGGCGUCUCAAGUGUGCAAGGAUUCACUUCAUCCUGACGUUACCCACUGUGACCACUUAGCUCCUGUGAGGGUCAGUCAAUUCCGUUUUAUCCCCACUUCACGGAGGAAGAAACCGAGGCUCGAAGGGGUCAACUCUCCCGUCCAGGAUCCCACAAUUGCGUCCCUGUCUCUAGGCUGCGGCUGCGCUCACCUUUCCAACUCGAGGACCUGCUGGGAGAGGACGCGCUGCUGGUCGUGGGCCAGGUCUCGGCUACUCUGCAGCUGGCUUAUUUCUUUCCUGGGAGAGGACAGGCCCCACAAGGCCCAGAUUCUGACCUCUCAAAGGACCCUGCAUCAGACCCAAGCUCCACUCGCACUGAACCAUGAUGCCAGCUGAGGUCCUGGCCAGGCUCUGGAUCACGUCCCAGAUGUCACUCCACCCUAGACCAGCCCAAAGCUGACUGUGACCUUGGCUGGGACCCUGGUCCCACCUGCCAACCAUGAUGUCACUUCCAGGAUUCCAGCUCUCAGCCCACCCCUGACCCAGUCCCAGACUUCCGCCGUGAGGCCUUCAGGCUGCGACUCCUGCCUCCUGAUGGGAGCCCACCUCCCCUGCCCGUCCCCGCACCCGGGAGCCCAUUCACCUUGGGGGCCUGAGGCCGGGUGGUGACUCGCUGGGCCCGACUUGCAUAACGCAGGGUGCUGAGAGUCUCAGGGAGGCACUGGGCAGAGGGGGACACGCAGGCCACCUGGGGAGGACCCCCUGAGUGCUCCUCCCUGGGAGCCCCUCCCCCAGGCCCUGCCCUCCCAGCCAGACCCCGAGGGUACCAUGAGGGUGACCCCACGCCCCCCUAGUGAGUCUGCCAGCAACUUGGUGAGCUUGCUGUCCCGAAAAGGAAUGUGGCUCUGCUUCCGCUGUGGGUCCAGCAACAGGGAGAUGCAGUGACCUGGGUGGGGAAAGCAAGGCCCAGAAAGGUUGCACCGCUUGUCCAAAGUCACACAGCUGGAUGCUACAGAGCCGGAGCUCCACCCAGACCCAGGCGACUCCAAAAGUCCAUCUUCCACACAACCUCACUGCUCAUUCAGAUGGGUGUCCACUGCCAGCCUGGGCCUCCUGAGCGCUCAGAUGGCCUGGCCACUCUAGUCUGCAAUGCUCAGCAGGGUCCUGGCACUUGUUAGGGACCCAGGAAGUUUCUAAUCAAUGGCUGAAUGAAAAGGAAUUUCGUGAGCACCUCCCGGGUGUGGCACUGGGAGGUGCUAAGGCCCAGGCCCGUAAGGACCAUAACCUGGGGUGGGGACAUGGGUGCAGUUCUCUGCCUUGCUGGGCCUCAGUCUCUAGGUGAACCAGCACCUCCUAAGUUGGCAUGUCACUCUCGAGACCCUGAGAGUUUACAGUCGGAAAGACAACAUUCUAAAUAGGGAAGAAAGUCAGCCUUAGGGUGGGGCCAGAGGAGGCCUGUCUCCCGGUCAGCUCCUGGGCCCACCCCUAUGCAUCACAACGUCUCUGGUCCCCGCUGGGCGCAGCUAUUGGGCAAGUGCACAGGAGGGACACAGGAAACCAGACUGGCGUCCCCAGGCCUCACCCAGGGCCAGCAGGCUGCGGUUGAUGCUGUUGGCCUCGAGCAUCAGCUCCCCACGGGAUCCUGUGGCCGCCACCUUCUCACUGCCCGCCAGGUCCACGAAGCACAGCUUCCCACCAACAGGGGGCGCCCCGGGGUCUGCGGGAGGCAUCUGCUGGGGCUGGGGGACCAGGGCUUGAUGGGGACUGGGAGGACGGUUCCCAUCAAAGUCACAAGGUGGCAAGGCCAAGCGUUUCCACUGCCACCCCACCUCCAGCACACACCCAAGGUGGUUCACACACGCCCUGGGCAGCUCCCUCUGGAUCGGGCACUCACAGUGGGGCGACCUAUGUAGAGCGUGAGCAGGGCGUGGCUUCGGCUGGAGGCCUGGUUCAGGGUAUGCGCUGAUCUCCUUCUCCGGCUGAGACCUGCAGGGGCGACCAGGGGGAGCUGCACUUGGUAGAAGAGAAGGUCACUGCCAAUGAGGAAGAGAGCACCGGGCAGAGGGCCCCCGGCACACAGAGGCAGAGACAGGCAGAACAGGUGUUGGUUCACGAAAUGAUGGGAUGUGGGUCUGGCUCUAGCAGACAGGUCUAAGCAGAGGGGAGAGAACCCAGCAGAAGAAUGACGUCACCCUGACAUCCAUAAACAUCUCUCCUAUUGCUGUGUAGGAGAGGGGGGAGACCAGGCACAGAGUCACCUGAGGAAUGGCAGAGCUGGGGACCCACACCCUGGGUCCCUGCCGGAGGAGGGUGAGCCAUAACUAUUCUAUCAAUAUUCUAAGCUUGAAGGAACCAGACUGGGACAGAAGGGCCGAACAGCCUAGACUAAGAGGUUCCACCUCUACCCACAGGGCAGGGGUGGGAGGUCCUGGAGCCUAAAGGGAUGUGGCCUGGGGCUUGGAAAUGGGCUGCUGGGGAAGAGGCUUGACCCAGCUGGAGGCUGGACCUGCAGGGAGGUCGGGGCUGAAAGGAGUCUGGAAGGCACCAUCCCAGGCCUUGGGGACACAACUGGGCCAGGUCUGAGUUGCAGGUUUGCUGGUCCUUCUCCCCCAGGGGAGUUCUCUGGGUGGAGGCACAGCCCUCCACCACCCGGCAGCGCCUGCAGGAGCUCGCACCCAUCUGAAGAAGGUCCAUCAGGGUCUCCAGACUCCUGAACUCUACCACCCGCAGCUGCUCCACGUAGAAGCCCCGGGUCUUAUUCCAUCGAACGGGGAGCGGCCGGGGAGACCCCAGGCUCAGCAAGUCCCGAACCUGGGAGAGGAGGGAGCAGGGGAGGGGAAGGCUCCCUCUGAUUCUGCGCUCCAUCCGCCCAGCCCUUCUUGACAAGGGUUCCCACAUCCCCUUCGGCCCCCUGUCCCUGGCUCCUUUCCUUUUGGGCUAUUUAAAUUUAUUCCUCCCUUCCCUACCUGCUCGUUGUAGAUCUCCAGGUAGGAGGCGCGGAGGGUGACGGGGGCGCCCAGGUGCUGCACGCGGUCCAACAGCCAGGCGAAGGUCCUCUGCAUGAUGCCUGCCAGGCUGGGGGGCACAGGCACCCCGUCCCCCUGGGGGCAAAACCAGCUGAACCUAGGCGCUGGCCCCGCAGCAGCAGCACAGUGAUAAGUCCCUUCCUCCCGGGCACGGGCUCUGCGCCAGGAACCCUGCCCAGUUCCCACCAAAUAUCUCAUUUAAUCCCCACUAUCAUUUCCUUAUCAGGUUUUUCAUCAUUUCCAAAUGAAGAAACUGAGAACUAGUUAAGGGAUCAAACAUCGAACUCCAAAGGCUCCAAACGGGCAAGUCCCUUCUCCGUGAUCCUCAGUUCUCUGCCAAUAAAUGGGGGGGGGGGCGGGGCUGCAUCAUCCAAGCCCCGUCCGCGGGGAGCCCCCGGCUGCCUGCAGCUCCCAGGACCCCCGCCCGCCAGCCCCGACCUUGGAGGGCUCGGCGGGCGCUCCGCGCACCUGGGGCGGCGGUCCGGUCAGCGUGUAGGUCUUCCCGGAGCCCGUCUGGCCAAAGGUGAAGACGGUACAGGAGAAUCUGCAGGCGGCAGGGCGCGGCUGGACACGGGCUGGGGCGGCGGGCCGGGCGGGUGCGGGAGCCCACCCCCCACCCGCGCCGCGCCCCCGGCCACUCACCCGCGCAGAGCCAGCUCGCCCAGCCGCCGCACGCCGCACGCCCGGAACACGUCCUCCUGCGUGCGCGCCCCGUCCAGCACCGCGCCGAAGCGGAACGCCACGUCCGGGCCCCCGCCCGGGGGGCUCACCUGGGGAGGGCGGUGGGGGACACUCUGGAAAGGGCCAAGAUGCCCCGGGUGUGCUGUUGUAGGGUGGCUGGAGGGGUUUCUCACCUGCAGAGUCCGGGUCCCCGAGCAGUGCAGCGCGCUCUGCUCUCCUCGACGCAGCUCGGCCGCGCUCAUCGGACGCACCCUAGGAUUCCAGGGAGCAUAGAUGGUCCAUCCUGAUACCUCCGUGGGUCCCAUCUUCGCCCCGGUACCUCCUGGUCAACCUAUGCCCACCUGAGCACCACUUGGAUGGGCGUUUCCGGCCCCUCUGACCCCUGCUCCACGCUCCGCGCGGGGUCCCUGUGGCAGCAACGUGAGUUAGGGUCUCUGAGCCCCGCGCUGUCUGCUGGGCGCGACGUUCAGGGCUCCCGGAACCGUCCCAAGGCUCUGCUUACCCGUCGGGAGAGCCACGUUCCUCCAUGUCCAGCUCUGCGCCCGGCAUUAGCCCCGCCCGAGUCUGGUUCCUUUCCGCCGCACGGGGACUGUCUCCACACGGUACAUUCCCGCCCCCAUCCCGCCAGCCCGGCGGUCAUCCAUCCGUAAAGCUCCCGCCUGCCCAGGGCAGGCUGGUUAAAGAUUCACCCAGCCCACCACUGUGCCCGGAAAGUCCCAAGUUAGGUCCCCUCGCUAGGGGGUUCUCAGUCUGAGAAUCUCCUACUCCUGGCCAGUUCCAUCAGCAGGGACCCAUGGGGCCACUCAGACCAGCCUCCUUGUGCACAAAGGGACAGGAAACCAGGAUGCGAAGGACUCAGUCAAGGCCACAGAGCUACCCUGGGCAGAGCCUGGACCAGGCUUGUCUCUCCACACACCCGCCCCUCUCCCAAGAGUUCCAACUUUUCAGUUCAGCACACAGAGAGGGGAGGGGCUUGGGCACCAGGGAGAGGCCCAGGUCUCAGUCAACUCUAGGGAGGUCCCAGCUGCCUGUCACUGAGCUGAGAGCAGGUUUCCAUCAUCUGGAUAAAUAUUGGAGCGCCUGCGUCUAUAAUGCCAAAGCUAAUCCAAGGCCAGCGCGCUGUUUGACUUUCCCCUCAGGCUUCUGAGAGCAGCAGAGAUGUCUGUGAGUGCGCAGCCUGGGCAACCGCUCAUGUUGUUGCAGUCUCCAGGCUGAGCACCAGGGCAGAAGAAUCACAAGCAGACCUGUCCCUCCCAGCUCACAGUCUGGCUGAGGGGAAAGGAAAACAAUCCAGUGUGCAGGGCCUUUGCGGAGCUCAGAGGCUUGUAGGAGCCGAGGGCCAGGAGGUGAGGGUGGUCCAGACAGAGGACACUUACUUCAGGAAGGCACUGGAGGAUGUGCAGAUGGGUGUGGCAAGGAGAGGUGGUUUGAGGCUAGACUCACUUCAUGGGGGGCACACCAAGGAGCUGGGCUCACUCCUCAGGGAACCAGGAAGCCACUGUGUGUCCCAGGCAAGGAAGUGACACUGUCAGGUUGGCAUUAUUAGUGGUAUUGUCAUGCUGGCUGUCUCUAUAUGUUCUCUGAAUAUUUCCACAAACUCCUCUCCCCCUGAACACACAGCAGCUGGAAAUCCUAAAAUCCACCCACUCUGUGACAAAUGACAGCCAACCAUCAAAGCCACAUUUCUAGAAUACAGGCCACCGUGGUGGCAGCAAGCUGCCCAAGCACUGGAGGUGUGCACGUGAGAGCCACUUGACAUGUUAGUUACAGGGUCCUCUGACGGGCUUUACAGGGAGGGGACUGUAGAGCCAAGAAACACAGUCCCCAGCCCUGCCACUAACUGGCCCCUGAGCCGGGCCCCCCUGGCCUGUGUCCUCCCUGUGAACAGGGUGAGUGGUCCUCUCCUGUUUCACAUGGUCGUUUUGAGAGUUCCAUGAGACAGAACUGAAAGUUAUUCACACAUGGUAACGAAUUCCUGAAAGCCUAAAUAAAACUCCCCAAAUGAUCUUCUUUCCAUUUUUCAACCCCUGAGGUGGAUCGGGAAAGAAUCACUAUCCCUGUUUCUCACCUGGAAAAAACAAAAAGAGGGAAAAGAGGCACUUUCUCCUGUGAAAGCAGGAGAAGCCCCCACAGAAGGAGGCAGCUGUGCACCUCCCAACUGAAGAGUUUAAAUCAAAAACUGCAGGCAGUAGCUCGUGAUGCCACCUGUAGGUUGUGAUGCCACUUGUAGCGUCUUAGAGUCAUAACUCCAUUUAGAGACGAACAAGUUGCAUUUAUAAUGCCCUUGGGAGUGUUAAGGACCAUCAGAAAUUGGUGUCCCGGUGUGCAGGGCUUAGUCGGAUUGUUGCCUUGCUCACAUUGCUCAGAGAUGAGCCACCAGAAUGGGAUUUGAUAAAAGUGCAAAGCAGGAUAUGCGCCUGCUGGGGACAGGAGGGCUGCUGGGAGGGGACUUUUGCACCAGGCAUCCUAACCUGGAUCAGAAUGUGUGCAUCAUCUGACGCCACAAGCGAGAGUCUGCUCCUUUUUUUUUGUUCCCUAACAGUGAAUGAGGACAUUGCUACCCUUAAAGGGAGCAUUCAUGAGCAGAGUUUUAUUAUGUGUCCUCUGUAUGCCAGGCUUCUCGGCACUUGGGAUUCUGAGUGAACAAAACAGGUAGAGAUCCCUGUCCUUGCAGAAUUGGCCUUUCAUGAGCAGGAAGAGGCCAACGACCAAAAUCAGCACCUAUGUAAUCUGCAGAGCAUGUUAAAAAUGGAGAAGUGCUAUGCAGGUCCCAAGCAGUGGGGAGGACUGAGCGCUGGGGUGGGAAGGUUGGAGUUUACACAGCAUGGUCAUGGGGUCAUGGGAUGCCUCUUUGAGAAAGAAGGGGACAUUUGAGUCAAGACUUCAAGGAGGAGAGUGAGUUAACAAAGGAAGAAAAUAUCUGGGGGAAGAUUAGCCCAGACAGAAGAAAGGUGAGUCAGUGGGAAGGUCCUGCGGCAGAGCAGACCAGUGUGUUCAGGAACAGAGGAGGGCGGGGUGGAGCAAGGGAAGGGUGACCGGAGGUCCCAGAGGGCACAGGGCUCCAUCAGUGCUGGCUUGCAGAGGGCUCUGAAGGACUCGGGCUUUUACUCUGGAUUCAUAAAGGAGGCGAUGAGCAGUGUCCAGAUCUUGAAUAGAGUUGACAACAUUUGUUAAAGUAUUGGAUGAUGUAUGUAAGAGAAAUCAAAGUAAAUGCAAACACUAGCACA